rnacentral:rRNA from 1 species
AUUGAACGCUGGCGGCAGGCCUAACACAUGCAAGUCGAGCGGAGCGGCGGACGGGUGAGUAAUGCCUAGGAAUCUGCCUGGUAGUGGGGGAUAACGUCCGGAAACGGGCGCUAAUACCGCAUACUAUCAGAUGAGCCUAGGUCGGAUGAGCUAGUUGGUGGGGUAAAGGCCUACCAAGGCGACGAUCCGUAACUGGUCUGAGAGGAUGAUCAGGAAAACUGGAACUGAGAGACGGUCCAGACUCCUAAGGGAGGAAGCAGAGGGAAAUAGUGGACAAUGGGCGAAAGCCUGAUCCAGCCAUGCCGCGGGGGUGAGGAAGGGCUUCGGAUUGUAAAGGACGUUAAGUGGGGAGGCGUUAACAACAGAAUAAGCACCGGCUAACUGCGUGCCAGCAGCCGCGGUAAUAC